GGCACCUCUCGAAACUGUACGUUUACUAACCCGAACUACAUGUACGUUUGAAUGCUGAGCUGCAUCAUAAUAUGAAUCAAAAGUGGCUGGAAGGAAUAUUUGAAUAUCCUACAGCAAAAGUGGGAUUGGGACGACCAUUGAAGACGUUCGAAGAGUCAAGCGAGUGAAGCAAAGACGGAAAACAGAAAAAUUACGGAGCAGCGUGGAAGAAUGAAUUUUUGCAACUUGCGCGAAAAAGCAAACUAGCGGAGUAAGGGAUGCUUCUCAAGUGCUUAUAGAAAUAACUUGAAGUGAUAAAAAAAAACUAGCCUGUGCCAAGUUUCAACUCUGUAUCUCAUCUGGGAGGGUAGUUACGGGUAAAAAUGUAAUCGCGAAGUUUUUGGCCUAUUUCUCCUAUUUAAUGACAUUCGACUGUAGAAAUAGCCGCUUUAAUUGCUGCUGGAAUAUUUAAUGAGGGUCACGCUGCAGUUCUACAACUUAUGGCAGAACUGCAGCUAACAAUAGGGAGCCAGUGUAAGAGGUACGCUGACGAAAUGAACGAGCGCCGGCUGGUUCGUCAAGGACGACGCAGCCUUUUAUCAUCCAAGGAGGCUCGGAAAGCUCGAAAAGAACAGCUAAUCCAGCAGAAUGAGAUUUUCGAGGAAACUGAAGGGCUAUUAUAUGGCCCUGGAAUUGCUAAUUAACCGAAGGAUAUAACAAACGCUACAUGUCACGCCGAUCUCCAACUCCCGCGCGGACCUGUUGGACUAUCAUCAAUAAUACGCC